UACGUAGGUGGCGAGCGUUGUCCGGAUUUCCUGGGCGUAAAGAGCGCGCAGGCGGUCGUACAAGUCGCGUGUGAAAGCCCCCGGCUCAACUGGGGAGGGUCACGCGAUACUGUUCGACUCGAAGGCAGGAGAGGGAAGUGGAAUUCCCGGUGUAGUGGUGAAAUGCGUAGAUAUCGGGAGGAACACCAGUGGCGAAGGCGACUUCCUGGCCUGUUCUUGACGCUGAGGCGCGAAAGCUAGGGUAGCAAACGGG
rnacentral:rRNA from 1 species